GACGAACGCUGGCGGCGUGCUUAACACAUGCAAGUCGAACGGAAAGGCCCUGCUUUUGUGGGGUGCUCGAGUGGCGAACGGGUGAGUAACACGUGAGUAACCUGCCCUUGACUUUGGGAUAACUUCAGGAAACUGGGGCUAAUACCGGAUAUGAGCUCCUGCUGCAUGGUGGGGGUUGGAAAGUUUCGGCGGUGGGGGAUGGACUCGCGGCUUAUCAGCUUGUUGGUGGGGUAGUGGCUUACCAAGGCAUUGACGGGUAGCCGGACUGAGAGGGUGACCGGCCACAUUGGGACUGAGAUACGGCCCAGACUCCUACGGGAGGCAGCAGUGGGGAAUAUUGCACAAUGGGCGGAAGCAUGAUGCAGCAACGCCGCGUGCGGGAUGACGGCCGUCGGGUUGUAAACCGCUUUCGCCUGUGAAGAAGAGUGAGUGACGGUAAUGGGUAAAGAAGCACCGGCUAACUACGUG
rnacentral:rRNA from 1 species